GGCAACCCUGACGGAGCAACGCCGCGUGGGGGAGGAAGGUCUGUGGAUUGUAAACUCCUUUUCUCUAGGAAGAAGUUCUGACGGUACUAGAGGAAUCAGCAUCGGCUAACUCCGUGCCAGCAGCCGCGGUAAGACGGAGGAUGCAAGCGUUAUCCGGAAUUAUUGGGCGUAAAGCGUCCGCAGGCGGCUAGACAAGUCUGCUGUCAAAGACCGAAGCUCAACUUCGGGUAGGCGGUGGAAACUGUCAAGCUAGAGACCGGUAGGGGUAGAGGGAAUUCACAGUGUAGCGGUGAAAUGCGUAGAUAUUGGGAAGAACACCAGUGGCGAAGGCGCUCUGCUGGGCCAUAACUGACGCUGAGGGACGAAAGCUAGGGGAGCG
rnacentral:rRNA from 1 species